rnacentral:rRNA from 1 species
AGGAGAGGUCCCAGUGCAACGCCUUCCAUCAAAACUCCAAAGUUAAGCGUGCUUGGACGAAAGUAGUACUAGGAUGGGUGUCCCCCUGGGAAGUCCUCGUGUUGCACCCC